rnacentral:rRNA from 1 species
AGCACCGAAUCCCGCGGCCGAUACCGGACGCCGGGAAAUGUGGUGUUAGGGAGGAUCCGUUUAUCCCGAGGUCGCGCGGCGAGUCCAAGUCCUUCUUGAACGGGGCCACAGCCCAUAGAGGGUGCCAGGCCCGUAGCGACAGUCGCCGAUCGCGGGAGGAUCUCUCCUCAGAGUCGGGUUGCUUGAGAGUGCAGCCCUAAGCGGGUGGUAAACUCCAUCUAAGGCUAAAUACGACCACGAGACCGAUAGCGAACAAGUACCGUGAGGGAAAGUUGAAAAGCACUUUGAAGAGAGAGUUCAAGAGUACGUGAAACCGUUCAGGGGUAAACCUGAGAAACCCGAAAGGUCGAAAGGGGAAAUUCAUUCGCGUUUCGGCCGCCGGGGCGAGAUGGUCGCGCGACGGGAGGCGUACGCGUCUCUCGCGCCUUCCUUUUCGCCGAGACCGGCGUCGAACGCGUGCACUUUUCCCCUAGUAGGACGUCGCGAUCCGUUGGGUGUCGGUUUAAGGUGCUCGCGGUGGAGCCCGGACGCGCGUCUCACGACGUUCGCGUUCGGACCCGCGGUAUCCCGACCGGCUCGCCCGACGGUAUACAGAUGGCGCGGGGCCGCUACCAAUCAAAAAGUUAGCGUCCGGCCCGCGGCAAGCGCGUUCGGAGUCGACGGAGAUCGGACCUAGCGCCGAUACCGUCCCCGGACGACUGUUAGCCGCGGUGUUCUCGGACAGACCCCGUAUUCUAUGAAACGCCGAUCUGCGACGCUAUAGCUUUGGGUACUUUCAGGACCCGUCUUGAAACACGGACCAAGGAGUCUAGCAUGUGCGCGAGUCAUUGGGACAUAACUAAACCUAAAGGCGUAAUGAAAGUGAAGGUCCGCCUAGCGCGGACCUAGGGAAGAUGGGCGUUCCGUACUCCGUUGCGGUCGUCCCGCAUUCCCGGGGCGUCUCGUUCUCAUCGCGAGAAGAGGCGCACCAAGAGCGUACACGCUGGGACCCGAAAGAUGGUGAACUAUGCCUGGUCAGGACGAAGUCAGGGGAAACCCUGAUGGAGGUAC